rnacentral:rRNA from 1 species
CGCGUAGGCGGUCGGUCAAGUCGGUUGUGAAAGCCCUCGGCUCAACCGAGGAAUUGCAUCCGAUACUGGUCGGCUAGAGUAUGGAAGGGGAGAGUGGAACUCCUGGUGGAGCGGUGAAAUGCGUAGAUAUCAGGAGGAACGCCGGUGGCGAAAGCGACUCUCUGGUCCACAACUGACGCUGAGGCACGAAAGCCAGGGGAGCAAACG